rnacentral:lncRNA from 1 species
GAAAAUAUAAAUAAAAUGCAACAAUGAAUAGAAAUGCUUAAAUAUUAUACCGGAAGUAAAAUUGCCUUGAAAAGUAUCAAAAAUGCUUGCAUAGUGUCUCAAAAUCCUCCGUUUCUUAUCGGAUUAGUAACGAAAACUUAAUGCAAAUGGUGACUGAUCACAACCCCAAACUUAGCUCAUUGUUUGUCCUCAAGUAAUGUUUCAGAUGACACUGCAUGUCACUCCCCAUGAUUCUUUAAGUUUCCUAAUACUACUGAGAUUAUUCGCUAACG